rnacentral:rRNA from 1 species
ACAUGCAAGUCGAACGAAGUAGCAAUACUUAGUGGCAGACCGGGUGAGUAACAUGUGGGUAUCUACCCUUUGGGCCUGGAAUAACACGAGGAAACUUGUGCCUAAUACCGGAUAAGCUUUACGGAGAAAGCUUUAUGCACCAUUGGAUGAGCCCGCACUUGAUUAGUUUGUUGGUAGGGUAAUGGCCUACCAAGACUAUGAUCAAUAGCUGAUUUGGAGAGGAUGGAUCCAGCCACAUUGGGACUGAGACACGGCCCAAACUCC